rnacentral:rRNA from 1 species
UCGAGGAUCUUCGGCAAUGGGCGCAAGCCUGACCGAGCGACGCCGCGUGCGCGAUGAAGGCCUUCGGGUUGUAAAGCGCUGUCGAGGGGGAGAAAGCCGCAAGGUUGAUCGACCCCUGGAGGAAGCACGGGCUAAGUUCGUGCCAGCAGCCGCGGUAAGACGAACCGUGCGAACGUUGUUCGGAUUCACUGGGCUUAAAGGGCGCGUAGGCGGGCGUCGGCGUCCGGGGUGAAAUUCUUCGGCCCAACCGGAGGACUGCCUCGGAUACGGGACGCCUCGAGGGAGGUAGGGGCGCGCGGAACUUCCGGUGGAGCGGUGAAAUGCGUAGAUAUCGGAAGGAACGCCGGUGGCGAAAGCGGCGCGCUGGACCUUUUCUGACGCUGAGGCGCGAAAGCCAGGGGAGCGAACGGGAUUAGAUACCCCCGUAGUCC